CGCAGGCCAGAGGACGCUC
rnacentral:misc_RNA from 1 species